rnacentral:rRNA from 1 species
GGGGAAUAUUGGACAAUGGGCGCAAGCCUGAUCCAGCCAUACCGCGUGGGUGAAGAAGGCCUUCGGGUUGUAAAGCCCUUUUGUUGGGAAAGAAAUCCAGCUGGCUAAUACCCGGUUGGGAUGACGGUACCCAAAGAAUAAGCACCGGCUAACUUCGUGCCAGCAGCCGCGGUAAUACGAAGGGUGCAAGCGUUACUCGGAAUUACUGGGCGUAAAGCGUGCGUAGGUGGUCGUUUAAGUCCGUUGUGAAAGCCCUGGGCUCAACCUGGGAACUGCAGUGGAUACUGGACGACUAGAGUGUGGUAGAGGGUAGCGGAAUUCCUGGUGUAGCAGUGAAAUGCGUAGAGAUCAGGAGGAACAUCCAUGGCGUAGGCAGGUUACUGGACCAUUUCUGACGCUAAGGCACGAAAGCGUGGGGAGCGAACC